GCGCGGCGAGCGUGCAGGCCACGAGGCGGCGGCGCGGCGGGGGGGCGGCGCGGCUCCGCUGCACGUAGAUCUGCGCGUCCUUGUGCCGCAGCGCCGCGUACAGCUCCUCCACCUUGCCGGCCGGCAGGAACAGUGUUGGCAACGUACCCCUGGAGUCGAGCAGCUGGUCCAGCUUGACCUUGAGUCCGCCGCAGCCGGCCGCCAGCGCCUUGUCGCCCUUGAGGCGCGCGUGCGCGGUCACGCCGCGCAGCUCCGCGCAGCACUGCACCACGCACCAGCGCAGCGCGCGCGACACCCAGCGCGGGGCCGCCGCUGUCGACAACCUCUCUCUGACAAUCUACUUCACACAUAUGGGCCUAGAAGGGUGGACGAGCUCACAGCCCACCUGGUAUUAAGUGGUUACUGAAGCCCAUAGGCAUCUACAACGUAAAUGCGACACCCACCUUGAGAUAAAAAUUCUAAGGUCUCAAAUAUAGUUACAACGGCUGCCCCACCCUUCAAACCGAAACGCAUUACUGCUUCACGGCAGAAAUAGGCAGAGUGGUGGUACCUACCCGUGCCAACUCAAAAUGAUAUCCUACCACUAGUAAAUUACUAUUCAACAAUACAAACCCCAUCACUUUACUGAAAGUAUUACUGAAGAUGAUUACAUAUCUAAUUAAAGUUCAAUAUCGAUAAUGGUAAUCUAUCGACAAUCUUUCUGAAUUGACUUCAUAUACCUACUGUUUUUACUGUUGUUGGUGUACUGGUGUACUGUGGACACAAUCAAUAAUUAAAAGAAUUUUAAGCUCGACUCUAGGUAUGGUGACUGCUUACGAAGCCGAUCACCUGUUCACAGGAAAUACAAAUUAGGGAUGUGCCACAACCAAGAGAUGGACAAAGUAAUAAGUCUUAAGAUCGUAGGCUAGUGUGGCACCGCCGUCACUGACUCUGAGAUGCAAAUCAAUCCUUAACAGUUAAGCUUCGCUUAAAAGAACCACACACAUAGCUCUGAUCAAAAAUCUACACUAAUCUAUAUAUAUAAAAAUGAAUUGCUGUUCGUUAGUCUCGCUAAAACUCGAGAACGGCUGGACCGAUUUGGCUAAUUUUGGUCUUGAAUUAUUUGUGGAAGUCCAGAGAAAGUUUAAAAGGUAGAUAAAUAUGAAAAUGCUCGGAAUUAAAUAAAAAUAACAAUUUUGUUUUUCCUUUGAUGUGGCCCCCGUCAGACGGAUUCCUUUUUAUUUAUCGAUUGAGGCACUACGAAGUCUGCCGGGUCAGCUAGUAUUUAAAUAUAAUGUUGUCGUAUUUAUUAUACAACGUCCACUUAAUAAUGAAACUAAAGGGAUCUGAUAAUGUGUUUACUUACAGGGGGUCGGCGGCUCUGGGAGUUGCAGAGGUCUGGAUUUGUUGAACUUGUCUCUAACCGAAGAAUACCAUUUGAAGUAGUUCAAAUGGUCAUAUUUGAUGUUCAACGUGCUUAUAAUCAAAUACAGAUUCAAAACACCUUUCUCUAGCUAGAAAAAAGAUUUUAUGAUAUCUUUAGUACAUUUGAAUAUAUUAUUUGAAAAUUUU